UGUACAAAAUUCAUUUAACAAAAUUAGAUACAUGCAAUGUAUUGUGUAUUACAUAUUUUAUGACAUGUUUAUCCUGUUAUAAUGGUCAGUCAUGUCGUGUCAUCUUUUUUCCCACUUCGCCACUGAUACUAACUAGCUGAUGAGGCAACGAUUCCUUGGUCCUUAUUGAUGACCUGUCAGUGCUUCUAAUAAAGCACAUAAAUAUGGAACAUUAUGUACAAACGAGUGACAUGAAAUAUCAGUCAAACUGGAUCUCAAUUUACAAGGUAGGUAUGACGCAUUACCAAAUUAACAAAAUUAAAAAAUAUAUCUCAUCUCAGCUACACAGUAACGUCGUUUUCUAACUGAUCUGGUGCACUCGCCACUAAGAUAAUAUAUUUAGUAACGCCUUAGCAGUGAGGAACAAGACUAAAGGAGAGGGAGAAAUUGCCAUAAUCAAUAGCAGUUCAUAUUCUAAGAAAUGCAUUAUCAACAUCUGUACUGUCAACAUUGUAUGCUGCUCAAGUGAGCCGUGGCCAGCGAGACGCAAAGCAAUAAGAACAAAACCCAGAGUGAUGGUACCACAAUUACGACCGCUACAAAACCAUUUGGUCACAUUCUGGUCAUGGAGUUUACCGCCAUUCGCUCCUAAUUAUCUCUGCGU